rnacentral:rRNA from 1 species
GACGAAGGGGGCUAGCGUUGUUCGGAAUUACUGGGCGUAAAGCGCGUGUAGGCGGUUGCCCAAGUCGGGUGUGAAAGCCUUGAGCUCAACUCAAGAAAUGCACUCGGUACUGGGUGACUAGAGGACCGGAGAGGAUAGUGGAAUUCCCAGUGUAGUGGUGAAAUACGUAGAGAUUGGGAAGAACACCAAUGGCGAAGGCAGCUCGCUGGGACGUGACUGACGCUGAGACGCGAAAGCGUGGGGAGCAAACAGG